rnacentral:rRNA from 1 species
AGCGAACGCUGGCGGCAUGCCUAACACAUGCAAGUCGCACGGGGGGGCUUCGGCCUCCCAGUGGCGGACGGGUGAGGAACGCGUAGGGACCUGUCGAGGGGUGGGGGAUAACCGCGGGAAACUGCGGCUAAUACCGCAUGACGCCGCGGCGUGACAGCCGGGGCCAAAGGCGAAAGCCGCCCGCCGAGGGGCCUGCGUCCGAUUAGCUGGUUGGCGGGGUAGCGGCCCACCAAGGCGUCGAUCGGUAGCUGGUCUGAGAGGGUGAUCAGCCACACCGGGACUGAGACACGGCCCGGACUCCUACGGGAAGCAGCAGUGGGGAAUAUUGGACAAUGGGCGCAAGCCUGAUCCAGCAAUGCCGCGUGGGUGAAGAAGGUCAUCGGAUUGUAAAGCCCUUUCGGCGGGGACGAUGGUGACGGUACCCGCAGAAGAAGCCCCGGCUAACUUCGUG